CCUACGGGAGGCAGCAGUGAGGAAUAUUGGUCAAUGGGCGUAAGCCUGAACCAGCCAAGUCGCGUGAGGGAUGAAGGUUCUAUGGAUCGUAAACCUCUUUUAUAAGGGAAUAAAGUGCGGGACUUGUCCCGUUUUGUAUGUACCUUAUGAAUAAGGAUCGGCUAACUCCGGUCCAGCAGCCGCGGUAAUACGGAGGGUCCGAACGUUAUCCGGAUUUAAUGGGGUUAAAGGGUGCGUAGGCGGCCUUUUAAGUCAGCGGGGAUAGUCGCGGGCUCCACCAUAGACGUGCCGUUGAAACUGGUAGCCUUGAGUUUGUUAGAGGCAGGCGGAAUGCGUGGUGUAGCGGUGAAAUGCUUAGAUAUCACGCAGAACCCCGAUUGCGAAGGCAGCCUGCCAAGCCAUGACUGACGCUGAUGCACGAAAGCGUGGGGAUCAAACAGGAUUAGAUACCCUAGUAGUC
rnacentral:rRNA from 1 species